rnacentral:tRNA from 1 species
GGAAAGAUGACUGAGAGGUUUAAAGUGGAGGUCUGCUAAAUCUCUGUAUAUAAAUAAAUAUAUACCGUGGGUUCGAAUCCCACUCUUUCCA